UUGACCUCGAAUCAGGUAGGAAUACCCGCUGAACUUAAGCAUAUCAAUAAGCGGAGGAAAAGAAACCAACCGGGAUUACCUCAGUAACGGCGAGUGAAGCGGUAACAGCUCAAAUUUGAAAUCUGGCUCCUUCGGAGUCCGAGUUGUAAUUUGUAGAAGAUGCUUUGGGUUGUGGGCUCGGCCUAAGUUCCUUGGAACAGGACGUCAUAGAGGGUGAGAAUCCCGUAUGUGGCCAUGGCCCGCGCCUAUGUAAAGCUCUUUCGACGAGUCGAGUUGUUUGGGAAUGCAGCUCAAAAUGGGUGGUAAAUUUCAUCUAAAGCUAAAUAUGGGCCAGAGACCGAUAGCGCACAAGUAGAGUGAUCGAAAGAUGAAAAGCACUUUGGAAAGAGAGUUAAACAGUACGUGAAAUUGUUGAAAGGGAAGCGCUUGCAACCAGACUUGGGCGCUGCCGAUCACCCCGAGUUCUCUCGGGUGCACUCGACAGCGCACAGGCCAGCAUCGGUUCGGGUGGCUGGAUAAAGGCCGUAGGAAUGUAGCUCUCUUCGGGGAGUGUUAUAGCCCACGGUGCCAUGCAGCCCAGCCGGACCGAGGACCGCGCCUUCGGGCUAGGAUGCUGGCGUAAUGGUUGUAAGCGACCCGUCUUGAAACACGGACCAAGGAGUCUAACAUCUAUGCGAGUGUUUGGGCGUUAAACCCAUACGCGGAAUGAAAGUGAACGUAGGU
rnacentral:rRNA from 2 species